UGCUAAUCUUUCCUGGUCUCUGCGUCUCACAUCUAAUAGGAUUGCAGAGUGAUAUCAGAAAGCAGCACUUGGUCUUCACCAACACUCUCUUCCAGCAUUCGCACACAGGAGAAAGGCAUCAGCGUGUGGCCCGUGCGCAAGAUCAUGUCAAAUAAUGAGAACCUGCAUUUUAACAGGGUGUGUAAACUUUUUACAUCCAAUGUAUACGGUGACCUCACCUGUUUUUAUCUCUGUCUACAGCAUCAGAAAUUACCACCAUUUCCCCUGACACUUAUACUGAGUCAGCUGGAGGCCGUGUGUUUGAUUCCCCUGACACUUAUACUGAGUCAGCUGGAGGCCUUGUGUUUGUUUCCCCUGACACUUAUACUGAGUCAGCUGGAGGCCUUGUGUUUGUACUGGGUUUGUCAUGUGCGAUUGUGUUACUGGUCAUUUUGGCGUUGGCUCUGCCCUGGUACAUGGUUUGCAGGAGAGGAACGUAUCAUACACAAGAGCAAAAUGAUGCAGAAGAUCCAAAAAACGAACCCGAUGAGUCCUCAGAUGAAGAGCUGUGAACAUCAUCAUCAUCAUCAUCAUUAUCAUCAUUUCUUCAUAAUGUCUCCUGCUCGAUAUGGACUUGUGGACAUGUUGGAUAUUUAUCAUAUUUCUUCUGUCCACUAUCGUUCCUUUUAAGUUCCAAGAGAUUUCUUCUUUUUUUAUUUUAUUUUAAUUCAUGUGUUAUCAACUUCUUUGUUCUCUUCACGUCAUUGGUCUCUAAAAGGAAUCUGUGUUCUAAUUGGCUGAGAGCAUCGGUGGCGAUGGCUUUAGUGUUUAGCGAUAAAAUGAUGAAUUAUAAAUAUUUUGGUAGCACACUUAAAGUUUUGGUCCCAACUAGAUAAGAACUUUUUCUUUUCAAUUAAGAGACUUUUUUAUUAUUUUUUUUAUUUCAUUAGAUCAUCUUUAUUUCAUCCGUGUCUCUGCCUUUAACAGCUCCUUCAUCCUGAACAUGUCCAAUCCACACACAUCAAAUAUUCAGCGGGACAGAAAAUGUUCCUUUUGCUCGUCCAAAUGUUUUAUUAAUCUUCUAAUAUCUUUUACUUUAAAAAAAUAAUAAAAUAAAAUAAAAAGAGCCUGGACUUUGAAGCUCUCAUCUCACACAUGAAGAGAAAUCUUUCCUUGUGGAUAAAAUCAGCGUCGAACUGAUUAAAAAGUGAUUUAUUUUAAACCA